GACGAACGCGGCGGCGUGCCUAAUACAUGCAAGUCGAACGAGAGCGACCGGUGCUUGCACUGGUCAAUCUAGUGGCGAACGGGUGAGUAACACGUGGGUAACCUGCCCAUCAGAGGGGGAUAACAUCCGGAAACGGAUGCUAAAACCGCAUAGGUCUUCGAACCGCAUGGUUUGAAGAGGAAAAGAGGCGCAAGCUUCUGCUGAUGGAUGGACCCGCGGUGCAUUAGCUAGUUGGUGAGGUAUCGGCUCACCAAGGCCGUGAUGCAUAGCCGACCUGAGAGGGUGAUCGGCCACAUUGGGACUGAGACACGGCCCAAACUCCUACGGGAGGCAGCAGUAGGGAAACUUCCGCAAUGGACGCAAGUCUGACGGAGCAACGCCGCGUGAGUGAAGAAGGUUUUCGGAUCGUAAAACUCUGUUGUUAGAGAAGAACAAGUGCUAGAGUAAACUGUUGGCGCCCUG
rnacentral:rRNA from 1 species